rnacentral:rRNA from 1 species
CUACGGAGGAUGCAAGCGUUAUCCGGAUUUAUUGGGUUUAAAGGGUGCGUAGGCGGGACUGUAAGUCAGGGGUGAAAUACUGCAGCUUAACUGUAGCAUUGCCUUUGAAACUGCCGUUCUUGAGUACAGUUGAGGUAGGCGGAAUGUGGUGUGUAGCGGUGAAAUGCAUAGAUAUACCACAGAACGCCGAUUGCGAAGGCAGCUUACUAAGCUGUUACUGACGCUGAGGCACGAAAGCGUGGGGAUCAAACAGGAUUAGAUACCCUGGUAGUCCACGCUGUAAACGAUGAUUACUGGUUGUUAGCGAUAUAUAGCUAGUGACUGAGCGAAAGCAUUAAGUAAUCCACCUGGGGAGUACGUCGGCAACGAUGAAACUCAAAGGAAUUGACGGGG